rnacentral:rRNA from 1 species
GACGAACGCUGGCGGCGUGCUUAACACAUGCAAGUCGAACGAAGUGGCGAACGGGUGAGUAACGCGUAAUCAACCUGCCCUUCAGAGGGGGACAACAGUUGGAAACGACUGCUAAUACCGCAUACUGAAGGAGGGGAUUGCGUCUGCUGAGCUAGUUGGCGGGGUAACGGCCAACCACGGCGAUGAGCAGUAGCCUGUCUGAGAGGAUGAACGGCCACAUUGGGACUGAGACACGGCCCAGACUCCUACGGGAGGCAGCAGUGGGGAAGCUUCCGCAAUGGACGAAAGUCUGACGGAGCAACGCCGCGUGAGUGAUGACGGCCUUCGGGUUGUAAAGCGCUGUUAAUCGGGACGCGGUACCGGAAUAGAAAGCCACGGCUAACUACGUGCCAGCAGCCGCGGUAAUUC